GGACAACAGUUGGAAACGACUGCUAAUACCGCAUAAGCCCACGGGUCGGCAUCGACCAGAGGGAAAAGGAGCAAUCCGCUUUGAGAUGGCCUCGCGUCCGAUUAGCUAGUUGGUGAGGUAACGGCCCACCAAGGCAACGAUCGGUAGCCGGACUGAGAGGUUGAACGGCCACAUUGGGACUGAGACACGGCCCAGACUCCUACGGGAGGCAGCAGUGGGGAAUAUUGCACAAUGGGGGAAACCCUGAUGCAGCGACGCCGCGUGGAGGAAGAAGGUCUUCGGAUUGUAAACUCCUGUUGUUGAGGAAGAUAAUGACGGUACUCAACAAGGAAGUGACGGCUAACUACGUGCCAGCAGCCGCGGUAAAACGUAGGUCACAAGCGUUGUCCGGAAUUACUGGGUGUAAAGGGAGCGCAGGCGGGAAGACAAGUUGGAAGUGAAAUCUAUGGGCUCAACCCAUAAACUGCUUUCAAAACUGUUUUUCUUGAGUAGUGCAGAGGUAGGCGGAAUUCCCGGUGUAGCGGUGGAAUGCGUAGAUAUCGGGAGGAACACCAGUGGCGAAGGCGGCCUACUGGGCACCAACUGACGCUGAGGCUCGAAAGUGUGGGUAGCAAACAGGGUUAGAUACCCUGGUAGUCCACACCGUAAACGAUGAUUACUAGGUGUUGGAGGAUUGACCCCUUCAGUGCCGCAG
rnacentral:rRNA from 1 species